UACAGGGGGGGCAAGCGUUGUUCGGAAUUACUGGGCGUAAAGGGCUCGUAGGUGGCCAACUAAGUCAGACGUGAAAUCCCUCAGCUUAACUGGGGAACUGCGUCUGAUACUGGAUGGCUUGAGUUUGGGAGAGGGAUGCGGAAUUCUACGUGUAGCGGUGAAAUGCGUAGAGAUGUGGAGGAACACCAGUGGCGAAGGCGGCUUUCUGGUCUGUAACUGACGCUGAGGCGCGAAAGCGUGGGGAGCAAACAGG
rnacentral:rRNA from 1 species